rnacentral:rRNA from 1 species
AACGAACGCUGGCGGCAUGCCUAACACAUGCAAGUCGAACGAGACCUUCGGGUCUAUUGGCGCAUGGGUGCGUAACGCGUGGGAACCUGCCCUUAGGUUCGGAAUAACUCCCCGAAAGGGGUGCCAAUACCGGAUAAUGUCUUCGGACCAAAGAUUUAUCGCCUUUGGAUGGGCCCUCGUUGGAUUAGCUAGUUGGUAGGGUAAAAGCCUACCAAGGCGACGAUCCAUAGCUGGUCUGAGAGGAUGAUCAGCCACACUGAGAGUGAGACACGGCCCAGACUCCUACGGGAGGCAGCAGUGGGGAAUAUUGGACAAUGGGCGAAAGCCUGAUCCAGCAAUGCCGCGUGAGUGAUGAAGGCCUUAGGGUUGUAAAGCUCUUUUACCCGGGAUGAUAAUGACAGUACCGGGAGAAUAAGCUCCGGCUAACUCCGUG